rnacentral:rRNA from 1 species
UACGGAGGGUGCAAGCGUUAUCCGGAUUCACUGGGUUUAAAGGGUGCGUAGGUGGCUUUAUAAGUCAGUGGUGAAAUAUUGCGGCUCAACCGCAAAACUGCCAUUGAUACUGCUUAGCUUGAAUCACGUCGAGGUGGAUGGAAUAAUACAUGUAGCGGUGAAAUGCUUAGAUAUGUAUUAGAACACCGAUUGCGAAGGCAGUUCACUAGGCGUGUAUUGACACUGAGGCUCGAAAGCGUGGGGAUCAAACAGG